rnacentral:lncRNA from 1 species
CGAGAGAAGGUGGAGAACGCCAGAAGGAGAGAGAGAUCGCCGGAGAGGAAGAAGAGAGAAAUGGGGAAGACGAUGCGUUUGGAGUUUAUAAAACCUUGGGUCCGACGGAUAUUUUCCGUCGGAAUUCCCUCAGUAUUUUCAAUUUCAAUUUUCCCGAAAUAUUUGGCGGCUUGUUUGCCUGGUUAAAUGAAAAUAUUCCGAGGAAAUUCCGACGGCCACUUAAAUAUCCGUCGGAAUUUCCUCGGAAUAUUUUCAUUAAUUCGAGGAAAAAGAAUAUCCUGUGCAUGUAUUUCUAUUAAUUUAUAUUGUUCCUCGGAAUUUUCUCGGAAUAUUCCGAGGAAAUACCGAGGAACUAGUGUUUGGGGUUUCAAAACAUCAAUUUUUUUUGUCGUAUUUCAUUUCUUAUACAAUUGUAAUGCAUACCAUUGAGGAUUCUUUGUAUAGAUGAGCAUAAACCAUGAAAUAACAAAUUUCAAAACAAAUUGUAAGUAUUCCCUUUACCGUUCAUUAAAGUGUAUAAGUGUUUCUCUUAUGUUGUGGGGAUUUCGUUCAUACAAUCGGAAAAGUGUUUAUUAUAGGGUAAGGAACAAAUUUUUGACUUCAUAAUGAACGUAAGACACUUAAUAAGGGUUAUAUAGGUGUUAUUCAAACCGCAAAUACGUUGUUUUUGGUUUAAAAACCUUAUUUCCUCGGAAUUUCCUCGGAAUAUUCCGAGGGAAUUCCGAGGAAACCCUUUUCUUCCUCGGAAUUUCCUCGGAAUAUUCCGAGGAAAUUCCGAGGAACUAGUGUUUGGGGUUUCAAAACGUCAAUUUUUUUUAAACGAAUCGAUCGAUGGAUAUAUGUCCAAAAACGCAUCGAUCGAUCACUAAGAUGGACCAAAGCGUAACAAAGUGAUCGAUCGAUGAGAUUAUCCCAUCGAUCGAUCGAGGAUAUCAAGUGUUCCUCGGAAUUUCCUCGGAAUAUUCCGAGGAAAUUCCGAGGAACUAGUGUUUGGGGUUUCAAAAUCUCGAAUGUUUUUUUAUAAACGGAUCGAUCGAUGGAUAUAUGUCCAAAAACGCAUCGAUCGAUCACGAAGAUGGACCAAAGCGUAACAAUGUGAUCGAUCGAUGGGAUUAUCCCAUCGAUCGAUCGAGGAUAUCAAGUGUUCCUCGGAAUUUCCUUGGAAUAUUCCGAGGAAAUUCCGAAGAACUAGUGUUUGGGGUUUCAAAAUCUCGAAUGUUUUUUUUAUAAACGGAUCGAUCGAUGGAUUUAUGUCCAAAAAAGCAUCGAUCGAUCACUAAGAUGGACCAAAGCGUAACAAUGUGAUCGAUCGAUGGGUAUAUGUUCAAAAACGCAUCGAUCGAUCACUAGUUCGUCGGAAUUUCCUCGGAAUAUUCCAACGGAUUGAUGUUUCCUCGGAAUUCCGUCGGUAUAUUCCGAGUAAAUUCCGAGGAAACCCAAAUUUUGAGUUUCCUCGGAAUUUCCUCAGAAAUUCCUCGGAAAAUUCCGAGGAUUUCAUUUUCCGUCGGAAUGUCCGUCAGAAUACCGUUGUUUUCUUGUAGUGUUGGUAUAUAGUUUUUGUCUGGAAUUAACUAUUUUCUGCCUUGAAAUGAGCUUCGAUGGCAAAACCAUUCCAGAAAACAACAAAUUAAAGCAAAAUAAAAUUGAAAAACACAUACUAUUUUUUUUUAAAAGCUUCAAUAACAUAUAUUUAUAAAAAUUUCAUAUUCAUUUUUUUGGGAUUUUAGAUGUUAUAAUUCAGAAAUCCUUGGCGCUGGAAAUAUAUGAGAUCAAAGCCUUAUCAACCUGUUUCACUGAAUUCUUUGUGUCCUAUAUUCAAAGAUCUUUAAACAUCCGUGUAGACUGCUUUGACAACGAAAAACGAACGUCUCUACCUGUUUGUGAAAUAAUUUUGCACUAUGUUGGCAAGUCUUUUAUGCUGGUCAAGUUGAUCCAAAAUAGUUUUCGAUGCCAAAGAAAAAAAAUCAGAAAAUAAAGAUAUCACUAAAAUAAAGAUAUAAAUAAAAUAAAGUCCACACUAGAUCGUUAAUGUAUUUGGUUGUUAUAAUUUAUAAACACCUAAGCCACCAGUUAAUAAUCUAGGCGUCCGCUUAAUCGUUUUAAGCGCUAUACGUUAGGUCGUCACCCGCUUACCGCCUAGCGCUUUUUUUAACACUCCUAAAAACAUAAAAAUUAAGGGUGGACAACAUAUCUAUAAACUGAUUUGAUAUGUUAUUCAUAUCGAUUCUAACCGAAAAUUUGAAUAUCUGUAAUUUUAUAAAGAAAAACAAAUAUUAAUAUGCAAUAUCUAUAAAAAAUAAACGAAAUCACAAAUCUAAUAUUUUUUAAAAAAGGAUAUCAGUUCCAAUCCAUUAUAGACAUAUAUAAACUAUAUUUACAGAAAUUUCUAUAUUAUAUAAUUAUUAUAUUUUAUAUAAGUUGAAAUAUUUUUACUCACUAAUUUUAUUAUUUUAGUUCUUAGAAUUUUAAAAAGUAAAUAUUUUUUUGUAAUAAAAUACAUUUUAGAUUAUUUAUUUGUUUAUUUUUUGUAUGGACCGAAUCAUAUACUUAGUAAAAAUAGAGUAGCUGCGAAGUAGAUUGAAUCAAAAAAUUGAUUAUCCAAAUGAAACAGAUUAAAUCAAAGAUCUCCCUGAAUAUUUGUUUUUUGCCCACCCCUAAUAAAACUGCCACCAUACAUUGGUAACUCGCCGGAAAAAAAAAACAAGACACUUACGAAAAGAGAAUGUAACACUUUCAUUCACCCUUUUAAUAUGUUCGUUAGUCUAUUGAUGAAAGCUUAUCAAAAAGCUGAGAUCAAUAGUGAUCAUCUUGAAUAACUCCGUCUAUAUCUUUCCGGUAAACCAAGGUCUUGAUCACUCACAAUAUUCUGCGGCAGUCUUUAGUCUUACUAUAUAAUUUUUGAAGAAGGUUCUAGCCACCUCUUCUGCAGUGUAAUCUGGAGGACAAAACACAAUUCACAAUGACAGAGUCAAACCCUUUAGACUUGGGUAGGACACUUAUGAAGAAUUCAAGUCAAAGUGGAUACCAUAUAUUAGAUAAAAAAUGUCUCAGAUCGGCAGUUGGAAAAGAUCUUUAGUAAUAUAUAAGAUAGAUAAGCCACUCUAUUUAUCACUAAUUGGUUUUAGGUUGGAAGCUCAUCUAGCUUAACAUGGUAUCAGAGCUCGAUCCAAACAGUCCAACCCGAUCAACAUUGAUAUGGUUCAAAGUUGGUCCAUCGAUCCUUACCUGAACAUUCCGAGAUUAACGCUUAAAGAACCAUCAUCUCGAGGGGCGUAUUAGACACAAAAUGUUCCACAUCGGUAAUUGGAAGGGAUCCUAAACAAUAUAUAAGAUAGACAGACAACUCAUCUUAUCACCAAUUGGUUUAGUUUGGAAGCACAUCUAGCUUAACAUGGUAUCAGACCCCGAUCCACAUCGAUAUAGCCCAAAGUUUGCCCAUCGAUCCUUGUCUGAGCAUUCCGAGAUUGGCUCUCAAAGAGACAUCAUCUCGAAAGAGCAUAUUAGACACAAAGUGUCACACAUCGAUAGUUGGAAAAGAUCUUUAGUAGUAUAUAAAAUAGAUGAUCUACUCUAUUUAUCAUCAAUUGAUUUUAGGUUUGAAACUCAUAUAGUUUAACACCCAGGUAGUGGCUCCAACCAACCCGAUAAAUGUUCCUUCCAUUCCACAAAAACCUGUCAAUUUAGCAUUUGUUUCUAACAUUAAAAAAUGUUAUUCUUAAAAUUCUAUGCAUUUUUUAUCAAAAAUAAAAUCAUUUUAACUUUAAUUGUCAUUAUUAAUUGUCUUUGAUAAUCAUUAUUAAUUGUAAUUACUAAGGAUAUAAGUGAAUUUGAAUCAAUUUUCUUAACUAGUAUGCAAAAGUGUCAAAGUGACAUUCUUUAAGAACAAAUGAAUUAUUAUAUUAUGUAAAACUAUCAUAUAUUUUGUAUACGUGAGUGUAAAAGCAAUACCAACUAAUAAUAUGAAAACUAGUUAAUAUAUAGGAGUCUUCUCGGAAUUACUUUGGAAAUUCAUCUACUCCAAAGCAAUGAAGGACAUACUGCAUAGAAAACAAACAAACAAGCAAGCAAAAGGCAAAGAAAAUAAAAUACUAUGUAAUUUAUGAAUUUAGUUUUGUCUAAAUGUGGGGAAUGAUCAAUCUUUUUUGGGAAAAGAAAGGAUCAGUUCUUAAUUUCUUAUAAGUACUAUGUAGAAAUCAACAAAAUUUAAGGAAAUAUAAUUUUUUUAUUACCAGAAAGUUCGGACCAAAACUUUAACCUUCCCGAGCCUGAAACCACAUGUAAUAUUAGUUUCGUCCUAACGAUUAUUCGAAGUAACCAAAUAUUAUUUCUUUAUGUAGUAGCACUUGAUAUAUAUAUAUAUUCCAGUGUACCAUCUUUUAUUUUAUUUUUAUGUUUUUUUGAAUUAUACAGGAAUAUUAUGAUCCCACAGAAAUGGUUUAAAUUAAUCAUGUGUUGCCACAUGUCGGUCUUCUCUCUCUACGAUGCCGAAAUGUUAAUUUUAGAAUGGCCGGAACUCGAAUCAUGGUGUUUUUAUUGUAUUGGGUUUUUCCGUUCAAGUUAAUCACCACCAGACCACAAGGUGUAAGGUGUGGUUACAUAAUAACCAGGGACAUGUACAUAAUAACUGUGUUGUGUUUGACGACUCGAUCUCAUUGUCUUACCCGUUCGGCUCAAACAAGUGACUCGAUAAUAUUGUUUACGUAAUGUUAAAAUUUUCCAUGUAAUGGCUUAACCAAUUCCCCCACAGAAACAGACUUUUUAUGUCUAUUCACAUGUGUCUUCUACCUUCGUCGACGGAUUCAAAAUCAAGGCACACUUUAUUGUUGGAUUCUUCGAUAACGAGUCAAAGAGUCAAAGUUUGUUUUACUAACAUAUAUAAUUAAAUUAACUCUUGUCAUUUAUCUUAUAUAAUCGAAAUGGGCGUGUUACAUAUACCCUAGUUUUUUGAUAAGUUUUGUUUUAAUUUCAAACUAUGUCAUUAUUGUUAUUCAUAUAACCUAUGAUUGUUGCUAACGGAAUGUUUCAACUUUCAAGUAGCAAAGAUGAAUAUAAAACAUUGGUAAAUAUUGUUUAACAGAAUGAUUAAGAAAUUAUAUGUGUUUUUAACAGAAAAUUAGAUAUUUAUAACCUAAAUUAAUAAGAAAAAUUCUAAUUUUAGGUAGCUACUAGUCAUUAAUUGGCCUUAAAAUGAGGAAAGCUCAAUAUAUCACUGUUCUAUUUAAAUUUCGAUUGAGACUCGAUUAAGCAGAUAACAUAAAAAUAAAACCCCGUAAUUUGGUUCACAUAUUUCUUUUAAACUCAUAAUCAAUUAAGUGGCUGCUAUUAUCCUAAAAUGAAAGAAUUAAUUUUUUAAAAAGAAAAACAACCAUUCAUCUAGUCAGAGUAGUCUAAUAUAUUAUAGAUAAACUAAUAAAAAUCACUAGAUGUCGAGGUCAAAAAUUUAAUAAAAAAAGUGUCCAUACAAAAUACAAACUAGAAAAACAGGAAGACGUUUCAGACAUGACAAAUUAUGGUGUAGUUGUGGGUGCUGAUCUUUCUACCACACGAAGAAGAUGGAUCAUUAUGCAUCACCCACUUGUUAUUAGUUAUUUAUUCUGAAUUAUAUUUCUUGAAUCGUUGGAAUUUAUUUUGGAAAGUAUAGCCUUUUAUUUAAGAUUCAGCAAAAAUUGCGUAAUGGAAACAAUAAAGGCUUCACCAUGCAUUAGCGUCCACGUAUGUCCUUCUCAAGUCUCAAAGACAAGGUUCUUCGCGAACGGUCCAAAAGCAAACAUAAAAUUAUUAGUGAAGAUUAUUAUUGUUCAAGCAUCGGUGGAUAUAUGAUAUAUCGACCUUGGAUGGCUACUCCCACGAUUUUAAAAGACAACCAAAAUAAACAAAGGUCUUUUGUGAAAAUUAUAUUUUCUGUUGUAGUCACAUCGAAUCUCCAUCUACUGGUGGGGAAAUUCUUCAGUUUGUUGUUAUCUUUAAAAGAGAAAAAUAUUUUAUGGAGUACGCUUUCUGCACCUAUGAACUGAAUUGGUGUAUGGAUUGUGAAUUAAUGAUAUAUCCAUUGUAAAGUUUUCUUUAAAAAUAAAAUAUCACCGGAUAUCAGCUUUAGCCGUAAGGCUGUUCAACUAAGCUUGGAAGUCAAGAGGCUCCCUAAUAACAAAAUUCAACAAGACCACAACUAGACAUGCGGUUUUGAACCAAACCAAACCAAAUAUAUUUCGAGUUUUGGUUCAUUUUUGGUCAUUGGUUCUGAACCAAUCAACAAAUUUCAAAAUUCAUAAGGUUAACAGUUUGGUUCCGUUUGACAAUCGGUUAGUAGACCGAAAAAAUCAAAAUUAACUGAAAAUACUCGAAUUUAACUAAAAUUAUUUAUUUAACCGAAAAACUAAAACUUCAGUUUAGUUUAGUAACACAACUGAAAGAACGAAUUUAGUGAAACCGAAAAGUAAAUUUUCAGUUCAAUUUGGCAGUUUUUUUUUUAAUUUAUGAACUAGAUUUUGAUCCGAGCUUACAAAGCGCAAGUUUAUUUUUAAAAUUAAAUAAAUUCUUCUUAUAUAAUUUCUAUAUAAGAUAAUGUAUAGGUUUUAGUACAUUUACCUAGGCACAUUGAACCUACCAAACUGAAAAAAUCAAAAUUAAACUGAAUUUCAUAAAUAACCGCGCAUAUAUUAUAUUUUUAGAACCGAAAAAUAGAAACCAAACUGGGAACCAAAUGAGUACUUAAAUUUUUAAAAUACAAAUUAUAUACCUACAAAUAUUAAAAAAAUUAAUUUUUAAAUAACUAAAUAUCCUAAAAAUACUAUUUAUAAACCAAAUUUUGUAAAAAAAAAAAUUAACGACUCGAAUAUUUUUUAUUCAAAUAAUUAAUAGUUAAUUAUUUAUCCUAUAUUUUUUUCCAAACAACCUAAACUAUCGGAUUUAAAGCGCAAGAUAUUUUACAUUUGUGAAAUUCAAUAAAACGUAUCAUAUAUAUUGUUAGAAUUUAUAAAGUAAAUAAACAUGUUUUAUUUAAACCAAUCUUUUUUUAACUAAUUCCAUUUAAAUCCCCAAGCCGUUUAGACCCAUUUGAUAUUUUUUUAUGAUAAGAUUAAUCAUUUAGUUCAUUCUAUGUAAGAAAAUCUUAAUAAUUGAUUGCAUGUAAUUAAUUAAAUUAAUGUUUCAUAGCUGGAUAGUUGACAUUAAGGCUUUUAGUUUUCAAUUCAUGUAAAAAUGAAAAAAAAAUGUUAUACAACAUAGGAUUCUCCAUUACAACAUAUAUUAAACAUAACUAAACCAUUAAAAAUUUUAUAUUAUUAAUGAAAUUAUAUGUGGUAAUGAUCAUGUCAUAUGUAAACAUGUUUUAAUAAUCUGCCAUAUAUUUAUAAGAAUUUAUUGUUAGAGUAAUUAUAUAAUAAAUUAUGGGAGAAUAAUAAAUGAGUUCAUUUAAAUUAUGUAAGGUAUUUAUAUAGUUAGAAAAAUAUAAGAUAAGAUCAAAAAAUAGUUAAUUCUAGUGAAAUGGCCCAACAACUUUGUUUAAGUAGAUUUUUUAAGAAUCAUUUUCUUUUAAUAGUAUAGAUUAGCCGCAAAACCAAACUAACUGACCAGAAACUGAUGUAACCUAACCCACAUGCCUAGAUAAAAUGCCCGAGCCGAAGUCUUAAGUGGUCACACUGGAAUCAAACCUUAGACACGAACAAAAUUACGUUAUUGGUCUAACAUUCAAUACAUUGUACAACCAAGCACAAGUUAUAUUUGUAAAGUCUUGCUUCUUAAUUCAUCGUUCGUUUGACAAGAAGUGAAAAACAAAUAAUAAUAUUACAAGUAAUUUAUAAUCCUACUAAAUAGUGAUGGAACGUGCAAAAGGUUAUGAUGGUGAGUUUGUAUAGAGCACUAUUUGGUGGGGGCAAACUCAAAGAGGAUUACAUAGUCAAAAGGCAACAAGAUUGGCGUGCUCCUUGUUUGUGUUUAUGUCCGUAUUUACUAUUUGACCUGCAAUUCCACAAAAAGCAACAAGAUCGACUAAUAUGACCUGCAAUUCUACAAACAAUAACAUCGCUAUUUUGGUUAGUGGUUCAUUUACCAAGAUAUAUAUAAUCAUAUGAACAUAUAGAUAUGCCACAAACUUGUUUAGAGUGCUUCUCACAGUUAAGGUUGUUUCUAAAACCCUGAACUCAUUUUAAGGAUGUUUUAAAACUCUAGAUUUGAGCUAGUCUGGUCCAUAAAACUCGGACGACAAACUUUUGCGUAAUAAAAGAACUAAAAAAUUGGUGUGGUUCGGUGAUCUAUUGUACUACACGUGACAAUUUAUCGGACACUACGCUGUUUGUCUGAAAAAAUCUCGACUAUGGUGAAUACAUCAAAAUCUUCUUUGGAAGUAUGAUGAUAAAUCAUUAAGCGAAAAAAAAGUAUAUGAUAAAUCAAUAAACCUAUCACUAUUUUUUUUUGUCGACCAAAUAAUUUUGUUUAGGCAGCCUAUUAGGCGCAUACAAGUAAAAUCGGUUUUAUAAACGAAGCCCAACAAAACAAUAAAAUAAUGUUUAAAAUCUAUCCAGAAAUGUUAUCCUCAUGUAAUCGAAAGUUCAGUUUAUUGUUACUCAACACGAUUUGUAGAAGGAAAUAGAAAUUUUAAUGAAUAACACUUUGAUUUGGUUGAGAUAAACACAACAAAACUCGGUUAGCGAAAUAUAAAUCCAACUAAGCGGAACCAAAAUCGAUCAAUAGAUCAAAGCUAUUUUACUAUAACAAAAUCGGGAGAAAGAUAAAGAUCAAGAUGUGAUAAAAUUAAAAAGUAUAUAUAACAUAUCAAUCCAACGUCUACGCCAACCCACUUUAUUGAUAUUUUGUGCCAAUGCACACAUAUAAAUAUAUUUUUUUAAAUCGUAACCAUUAGUUAGUAUUUUUAUUUUAUUUAUAAUUUUUAUCUUAUUUUAUAAUUUAUAUAUAAGAAAUUACACAAAAUUCAAUUUAAAUAAUAAUAUGUUGUUAUGUUAUCUAUAUACAAUCUUGUGUAUAAAAUCGGAUUGGUUCAAUUAUUUAUUUGUGUAUAUAUUAGAUUGCAUUUAUUUUCCAAAUUUAAAUAUUUUAUUUUUUAUUUUAAAUAAGUAAAAUCAUAUUAGUUUCGUUAGUCACAUUUAGUUCAGUUUGUUGUUUUAGAUUUAUAUAUAAAUUUGUAAAAUUUUGCAUAGUUUAUAUGUUGUUUUGAGAAAAAAAUAAAUAAAGUGGUAUCCAAGUCUGUAUAUACACAAAAUAAAUAGUUUCGUAAGUCACAUUUGUUCAGUCUGUAUGUUAUGCUCAAAAUUUUGUAAUAUUGACACUAUUCAUAUCUGAAUUAUGCAUGGUUUGUAUUGCAUCAUAUGAGAACUAAAUUCUUAAAACUAAGACCAUCAAUGAGCCUAACGAAUUCUAAACUAUUUCGAGUUGGGCUAUGUUUUAUAUUCCACAAAAUGGGCUAUCGUAAGGAGAUCUAUGGUUAUUUUGGGCUUAUCUCAAGAAACUAAAUUUCAUUACAAGCUUGUAUUGGAUUCAUCUUUUAUACACUUGCACCAACAUUUUAUACACUUGCACCAACAUAAACUACAAGUUAAAGUCAAAAUGGCCGUACAGUAACACCCCUAGUAAAAUUGUUGUGGUACAAACUUCAGUAAGAUAAAAAAAAUCUGUUUCUAAAUAUCUUUCACGAUUUUCUUAAAAAAAUAAGGUGAUUAUCAUCAAUUGGCUAACGAAAUAUACAGUAUUGCUUAAUAUAUGAUAUUUGUCUAUUUGGUAAAGUGAUUUACUGUUUCUUAAGUCAACACAUAUACUAAUGAUCACUUCUAUAACAUAUAUGUAGAUGGUAUCAUUACUUAAUUGUUCACAUGACAACAUGUAUUGAUAUUCCUCAUAUAUAUCUUCCACGAAUCCUUCUUAGGUAUAUCGAUGCAUAACUAUGUGCAAAGCAAAUGGGGCAGUAGUUAAACCUACUUGUCCAGCUUUCUUAUUUUUUUUUUUUAUCAAACCAUACUUGCAUUAAUCUUAAAUAUGUUUAAGCUCCAACAGAGGAGGAAGAUACAAAGGGACUAGUAACAGCCAAGCAAACAACAACAAUAACAUAAGGGAUAAAAUGACGAUACAAAUCAUAAAAAAGAAUCAUAUGUCAGCUUUCUUAUUUAAGUCUUAAAUACGAUCCACCUUUCAGUCGCGAUUAAAGGGGAAAACAAUUUAAUUUAUAAUUGUUCAAAUUCAUAUUUCUUUUUCAUAUGAACGCUCUGGUGAUGUAAAGAUUUCAUAUCUUACAGAUUUGGGAGAUUCCUUGUGGCAAUUAGCUUAACUUUUACUUUUAUUAGUCCCUUUUGGUGGUCCUUAUAGUCCAUUUUCUAUUCAUUGAUAUAUCAAAAUAUGAGUAGUCAUUUUCUAGUCUUUGGAGCAACCAAACAACUUUGCAGUUCACAGAUUAGAGAAUCAAGAAAAAAAAUGUGAAAACAAAAUAUCAUAUAGGACAAUAACUCAUCAAAGUAACUAGAGAAAGAUGGCAACAUCGUCAUAAUCUUUGUCAGAUUGGCGCAGAAUGCUUUGAAGGAAAUGUGGUUGAUUCAUUUAUCCAAUAGUUAAACCAUGCCCCAAAUUAGAUAUGCCAGCAAUAAUUUAAAAUCUUUUAUCCAUACGUACUUUUUUUUUUUUUUUUUGUAAAUUGGCUUUCAUUAAUAUAAAUAAAACUAAAAAGGUACAAACUCAUAAGCUAGUGUUUAAAAGAGUAAAAGCCCAGUAAUUAGAAAAUAGAUAACUUAAGUGCAAGCCCAUGAAUCUCAAUAUUGAACUUUCUUGUGGUUGCUGAAGCCCAAAGAAGGGACGGUUGAAGAGAUUAACGAAGUCGUACGUCUUCUUCGUUGAGAUCAGUUGAGACUGAAAAAGAUGAUACAUAGAAGAUGUGAAACUACGGCCUGGUGGAAGGGAGAUCAAACCAUCUCUGCAUCAUCUUGGAACAGAGAAUAGGGCUCGAGUAUCUGAAGCUCUGAAUUUUAUUUCGGAUUUGGCGAUCAAUCAAGGAGAAGAUCGAGUCAAUUGAGCGGAAAGUGUUGGAGUGAAGUCUGUUGUUUCUUUCAUUCCAUAACCAGUAGAGAAUGGCUUGCCAAGAGAGAAGAACAAGAAGGCGAAACGCUUUUUCCGAAGGUAGAGACUGCAUCUGAAGGAUCGUUUCAUCCCACGAUCGUCGAGGAAUGAUCCGAGAACGAGAUGCAAUCAAAGUCCAGAGAUCGUAACUAAAUCCACAGUCAAAGUACAAGUGAUUUCUUGAUUCCACUUGCAAGUUGCAGAGUAGACAAGUAGGAGUUACUUGGAGACCCCAUUGAAGCAUCAUGUCUUUGGUGGGGCAUCUGUUCAGAGUAACUAGCCAAGAAUGAAACGAGUGUCGGGGAAUUGCGUGAGGAUACCAAAUCGCCUUGGUCCACGAGUGUGUAUCUAUUGAUCCUCUCAAGUAAGUGUAGACUUCUCCCGUACAGAACUUACUAUUGAUUUUUCCUUCAAUUUCCCAUUCAUAGUAAUCAUGGUUCUCAGUUAACUGGAUAGUGGUGAGGAAAGCACAAACCUAUAACAUUUCUUCUGAUCUUGCAGCGGGGAGAUUCCAGUGAUCAUCACGAAACAGAGAAGCAAUGGUUGCAUUCAGUGGAAUGCCAAGCCUUGAGUUUGACGAAUCCCGAAGAGCUGAGACUAGUCCAAGAGGAGCCCAAUUAUCUGACCAGAACCGAGCAGACCGACCAUUUUCCAGGCGCAUUUUGAUAAGAGGAGAAACCUCAGAGCGAAGCUUGAUCAGUUUGUUUACGAGCCAUGAGUUCUAUUACCUAGGCUUUACUAUCCAGUAAUUAUGAACGGAGCCAUUUAAGAUCACCUCUUUGAACCAAAUCGCCCAGACUGAGUCAUCUCUAAAGAACAGGAUCCAUAUGAGUCUCAGGCAGCAGGCUUUGUUCCAGAGUAGUAAGUCCUUAACUCCCAAUCCCCCUUGUUCUUUGGUUAGAGUGACUGUGUCCCAUGCUACCUUAGCCGAAUGAUGUCCCUCUAAGCUUCCUUUCCAAAGGAAUAGACUGCACAUGGAAUUAAUCUUUUUGAUGCAUGCUUUAGGUAGGAUGAAUGCUGAAGACCAGAAGGUUGUAAUGCCAGAUAUCACCGUUUUGAUCAGAAGGAGACGUCCUGAGAAGGAUAGAGACUUUACAGACCAAGCCGAGAACCGAGAUUUUACUUGCUGAAGCAGCGGUUGACAUGCCGAGAGGGACAGUUUCUUGGACUUCAGUGGAACUCCCAGAUAACGAAAAGGAAGAGAGCCGCGGGACAUGCCAGUAGAUGCUUGGAUUGUAUCGAGCUCAUCCUAAGAUAAACCUGAAGCGAAGAAGCCUAUUUUCUGGAAACUUACCGCUAGUCCCGAUCUUAGCUUGAAUUCCCUCAGUACUUUUAGGAUAGUCUGAACUGAUUCAAUGGAACCGUCAAUGAAGAUCAACAGGUCAUCAGCAAAAGAGAGGUGAGUAAGCUUCAUUUUUUCACACUUAGCAUGGUAUUUAGAUCUUUCGGUUGCGACGGCUCUGUUUAGCAUCAUAGAAAGACAAUUCAUAGCAAUGACAAAUAGAUAUGAAGAUAAGGGAUCACCUUGUCUCAGUCCUCUCUUACCCUUAAAAUACCCAUUGACUGUUCCAUUGUAACCCACCAUAAAACUGGUCGUGCAGAUACAAGCUUUUAUCCAGGAGACAAGGCUUUGAGAAAGAUGAAGUCCUUCUAAGCAAGAGAGCAAGAAUUCCCAAGAGAGAGUGUCAAACGCUUUUGCUAUGUCCACCUUGAUGGUGAUUCUUUUACUCCUUUUGUUCUUGUGAUAACCAUUUACUAACUCACUUGCUAAGGUUGUAUUCUCAACCAGUAGUCUAUCUUUUACAAAUGUUGUUUGACAUGGCAGUAUGAACUCUGGGAGGAAUGGUUUCAGGCGAGUUACAAGGAGGCGAGAUAUGACUUUAUACACUGUGUUAAGACAUGAAAUCGGCCGAAAGUCAGACACCUUUGUAGCUCCCGGGAAUUUAGGAAUAAGAGAGAGGAUGGUUGCAUUUGCUGAAGCUGGCAAAAAUGCAGUGGCAAAGAAGUGCUGGAUUGAAUCUACUACCUCCUGUCCAAUUACUUCCCAGCUAGCUUUGAAGAAACCAGAAGUUAGACCAUCAGGUCCAGGGGCUUUGUUCUGAUUCAUUUUAAGGAAUUGCUUUUGUAUCUCCACAUCUGAUGGGAUAAUUAACAUUUGUUGUGCUUGCGCAGGAGAGACUCGAUAAUCAAAGAGACAAGAGAACCAUGACGCCAUUGAUGCAAUCGGUGGGGAGCAGGAGGCUAGGGGUCCCAGAACUGACUGGAAGUGAGCAACAGCUAGCUGGCUCAUCUCAGUAGGAUCAGUUACUCGGGUUCUGGCAGCAGUAGUGAAGAUACGAAUUGCAUUGUAGCUUGCUCUGACCUGACAAAUUCUGUGAAAGUAAGUAGUGUUCAGGUCUCCUUCCUGCAACCAAUUGAUCCGUGAUUUUUGCCUGAAGAAACAUUCUUUUAUUUGACGCAGGAAAAGCCAGCGAUUAUGAAGGUCUCUCUCUUCUUGAAAUGAUUGUUGGCUUGGAGUAGUAAGUGCUUGUACCUGCACAGUUUGCAACAAACAGUAAGUUUCCUUGACUCUCUCUUGAAUUUUUGAAAAGUUCUCUCGGUUUAGAAGUUUCAAAUCUGAUUUAAUGAGUUUUAGCUUCCAACAGAGUUGAGUGAGAGUCCAACAGUUGCUUCCAGCCCGAGCCCAAGCGUCGUUUAUCACCAUGGUGAAGUUUGGAUGCUUAGUUAGGUAGUUUUGGAAUUUGAAAGGUUGGGUUCCCGCUUUAGGUAGAUGGACAGCAAGGUCUAGGAGGCAAGGGGUGUGAUCAGAGAUGGAUGGGGGGAGAAAUGUGACAGAGGCAUGAGGGAAAGCUGAUAGGGUAUUAUAGUUUAUGAGCUGUCUAUCCAGUUUUUUUUGCUAUUGGCGAGUCUGGCGGAUUGUUGGUCCAUGUGAGAGAGGGACCAUUGUAGCUCAGAUCAAAUAGGCCAGCUUGGAGUAUACAGUCCUGGAACUGGUACAUCAAGGAAUUGGGAACAUAGACAGUAGGGGAAGAAUGUUCUAAGGGCUGCAAUAUUUGAUUGAAAUCGCCACCAACAAACCACUGAUUGUUUUGGAGAUCAUAGGAGUUUGAUAGAUAUAUGAGUUCAGCCCAAAGGUCAGCCCGGUUUGCACAGAGAUUGGAAGCAUACACAGCAGUGUAGUAGAAGGGGUCUUUGUUCGGCAAUUCAAGCAAGUAAGUGAGGCUUUGACUACUCUGGUGAACUACACGCACCUUCAUUGGAUCCUUCCAGAUUAUGAGUAUUCUACCAUCUUCAUCAGACUGGUGGUUUGAGACAAAAUGCCAACCAAAGCAAAGCUUAGUCAUAAGCGGUAACAUAGAAAGUUCUUUAAUAUGAGAUUCAAGAAUGGCUCCAAAAAUAGGCUUAUGAGUUUGUAACCAACUAAUAAAAGGCCGAUGCUUAUCCGGGUCAUUUAGGCCUCGGAUAUUCCAAAAAAAGAGUUUUACACUCAUUGGGAAGAAGAAGGAGGGACCUCGCUUGUAAGGCGAGGAACCAGGUGCAAAAAAUCUAACGAGGAGUUGGGGUUUUCAAUAGGAAGCCGGGUUGAAGAGAUGGGGGUGAGAGGAUUGGAAAGAAAGGCGAGGGCUUCUACUGGGUCAGUAGGCUGGUGAGCAAAAGGAUUUGGAUUGAGAGAAGAGGAAGGUGUGAAAGUUGGAGAAGAUCUGGAUCUUUUUAGAGAAGGUCUAGGGAUAGGGUCGAGUUAGACGAAAUGGCUGAAAGAGGAGGAUUUACAUGAUCAGACGAGGAUUCAGUGGGAAGGGUUGUGAGGAGAGGAGGGUCAGUUACCAUUUGGUCAUGAGAAGAAGGGACAAAUUCAAGAAGAGCAAAGGUAUUAGAGAUGGGCAUUUUUGGGGUAUCAGAACUAGCAGUUGGAAGAUUUGACGACGGGGCUUUUUUGGCUUUAAAAGUAGCUGAGACUUUUUUAACAUAAGUUCUAGUGGGAGCAUUUUUUGGUGUGGAUUUGGGGAUGAGAGUAGAGAAGGAAUUGGCAGGGGCUUGUUUAGGAUGAUUGGUUUGGAAAGGGCUUUGUAUGGGAAGGUUUGAUUGAGGAUGGUUUUGUUUAGGAGUGUUUUGAACCGAUGGAGAGGGAAGCAGGAGACAGUUCCGAACAAGAUGACCUAGUUCAUGGCAAUGCGAACAGGUUGGAGGGAUCCAAGGGUAAUGAACCAGAACUUCAACAACUUCUCCACUCUGGCGCUGAAAUUCAACAACCGAGGGAAGGGGCUAAGUGAGAUCAACUUCAACUUUCACACGAGACAAGGUAAGGCUAACAAGGUUCCUUGUAAAGUCAUCUGUUUCUUUCGGGUCACCUACCAAACCUGUUACUAAACUGAGACCUUCUUGAUGCCUUAGGUCGAGGGGAACACCUGUCAAGUGUGCCCAAAUCUUUAUAGCUUUUAAAGGCGGAGUAGACAUAGAAUGCUCUAAAGACCACUGCGCCGUGUGGAACAUGGAGUCCCCUACGUACCAAAUAUUCUUCUCGAGAAUCUUCUGGCGAAGGUAAUCAUUUGGGAUUCUCACCAAAGUAGAUCUGUUACGGGGGUUGUUAUGAAAUCUAACUUUUUUCCUUUGCCCCACAUAUGGUUAAAGACGCUCUGAAUCUGAUUAAACGGAGGUGGCCUUCCAUUGUAGUAGCAGAUGAUGAAGUCUUUGUGAAUCGCAGCACCCUUCUCAAAAACUGAGUCAGGAAUUAAAACUCUAGGUCUUCAUGUUUCUGAGAUUGUUACAGGGGCAAGUCUUUUUAGGGUUUUAUCUUCAGAGAUUCUCAAUCUUUCUACAAGGGAUGGUUCUGAAGGUGUAGUUUGGGUGGGCAUUGGAAGGGUAGGAGGCAGAGUGACUGGUGGUGGGUUGGUUUCGAGACUGGGGUCGGUGGUAGAAGCUGGCGGAUUAGUAGGUUGAGAGGAUGAUGCUUUGUUUGUGAUGAUAGAAGAUGAGGAUUUAGGGUUAAUUGUUAUGAAGUUUAGGAUAGGUACGUGAGUUUCUUCUGAAUGAACAGGGGCAGUAGGGAUUUCAGAUCCAAUUUGAGGACCAGUUUCAGCGGAUGCAAUAGUUGUUACCGAUUCAAACUGAACUUUGACAGUGGAGUCAACAUGUUAAAUCUUGGUAGAGCUAAUAGAGGAGAGAACCAGUAACCCUUUUUUCAAAGGCUCCGGAACAAUGUUACGUUUCUGUUUCGAGAGGGGAGUUGAGGAUAAGAGAGGAUAUUCUUGAGGAGACAGAGGGGAGAGUGGGUCGGGAGGGUCCGGUGGAACGGGGUGAGGUGGAGGGGAGUCACCAGCAGAGGACGGCGAUGGGCUCGGGGCGGAAGCACGGCUAGGGAGCUUCCAAACGCUCUGCAUCGGGAAGCGAGUCAUAGAGGUUUUGACUUCGUAUUUAUGCUUCUUUGUAUGGUUUUUAAUCAGUUUUAUUUAUCCAUACGUACUUGAAUAUCUUGAUUUAUUAUUAGUGAAAUCUUCAGCUACAAAUUGAUUUUAUUCGAAUAUAUAUUAAGUAUAACUUCCUUUUCCAAUGUAAAGAAAGCGAUGGAAAUGAAAAACAAGACUGAAAAUGAUUAUGGUCUUAUCGGCUAAGGUCUACUUCCAAAUAGACAUACUUGGAUUUUUCUAACCAAACAUCUAUAAGAAACUCGUGAACUAUGCCAUUUUGGAGAAGAAAAAAAAAACUGCGAAUGACUAAUUAAUUUUUGAAAAACGUCAAAAUGCAAUACGUUACAUAUAAGAGAUUAGAAUAUUUCAACAUUUAAGGGAAUUAGGAGUGUGAUUGGCAAUAUAUGUGAAAAAUUACCAGAGGGUUUACAAUAUUAUACCGUUUUUUAUUAAUCUGAAUUCAUGGGCUUAGGAAACUCCACAACAUAGCCCAUAUACACUCUCUUUUUUUUUUUUGAAAUACCACACUUGUUUUUAUUAUAAAGUUUGUAUUGUUUUUACUUUGUAAUUUUUUUUGGUUGAAACAGUCACUCGGCUUUAAGCGAAUCACCUACUCAUAUAUAAAUUUGUUUGGAGGAAUCACUUAAUUCCACUAGGUUUGCGAGGGCAAAUCGUAUAGUAUCAAAUAGUUAUGUGAUCAUUUGGAUCAGUUGUAGAAGUAUUUUUGAUCUGCUCUUAUAAAGAAUCAAAACAAUAUGAUGAAUAAAGUUAGAAAGCUGGAUAACAUGGCACUUUAUCCGUGAAAUAGAACUUUUGCUGAUGCAUUCAUCAGAUGGUCUCAAGAAGUCAAGCUCAUCGCACCAACAACUGUCUGGUAACUAACAAAUGCAUACUCUACAAACAACCGUGUUCACUUCUUUUGCAUUUUUAAUACUUGUUUAUCCACCACCUUGACUUUCUGUCUAGCAUAUACUACCUCAUGUCAUAAAUUCUCUACAGGUUUUUUUUUUCUUUUCAUUUGAAGAGAAACCAAAAUUUUCUCAUUUUUUCUUAACAGAAAACUCUGUUAUGUCUUUUCAUUUACGUAAAUAUAUUCAUUUAUUUUUCCCUUUUCACUAGAAAACAGUUCAGAAAGACAAAUACUUCGAAUUUAUUAUUUUGGCAUAUUAAAAAAACAUACUUCGAAUACUUUAUAGAAUAAUGUAAUAUUAAGAAAAUUGGAAAUUUUGAUUAAAAAAAAACUAGAAACAUAUCGAUCAUUUUGCAAAUUAGAAAAGAAAUAGUAACUUCAAAAUAGAAUAUUGAAUGAUUACUUUCUAUUUAGAAUAGUACCACCCAGUCACUCUAUUUCAUAAUGCAGAUAUUUUGAGAAUGUUUCUAUUUUAGAUUAACUUUAAUUUUAUUGAACUAUUUGACCAGUCAUAUUUUACAGUCUUUUAUAUUUAACUGAAUUAAAUAAUUUGUGUGCUUUUAUCCCAAAUAUCAUAGAGCCUGAAAAAAUAAAUUGUUACAGAGAGUUUUCUUACUUUGUUUCGGCCUUUCGGGUUAUAGUCUAAGAGAUGCUUUCACAUAGUUCGGUAAAGUCCUAUACUAUAUCCUUUCCACCAUUAAAAAUCUAAGAACACAAAAAAUGUCACUGGAAAAUACUGACUUGCAAGUUGCAACUGUAUUAAAGAGCAUUAAAUUCCAAUAAAUUUCGAUAUUUUGGACAAUUUUUUCUUUACACGUUAAAGAAAAGAAUUCUAUUUUGGUUUUUGAAUAGUGGAAAUCCAUUAAAUUUUGGAAAUGAAAUGAGAGGUGAGUUUUAAUAAAUAAAAAGUAUAUAUGGUAAAUCAUAUGUGAACAAGAAAAAAGUACAUACUUGUCAGCCCCACUCCGUGAAGACAUCAUCCUUUUGUCGGUCCCCUUUCUAUGUGGUGAAAAUAUUUGUCCACGCUCUUCUAACUCACCCACUCAAAUCUAAUAUAAUGCCUUCGUAAGUUUUUUUUUUUUUUUUUUUUUUUUUUUUUUUUUUUUUUUUUUUUUUUUUUUUUUUUUUUUUUUUUUGACCAAAUGCCUUCGUAAGUUAUACACACGAUUAAACUUAUAAGAGCUAAUCUGACUAUUCAUGAAGUUUCUUUGAGAAAAAAAAAACUAUUAUAGUGUCUUCAUAUCACAAUAGAAUUACCAAAAUUAUCUAAUGGCAACAUGUUAUCUUUAAAUAAUUACAAGAAGCCAUUUUGUAAGGGUAAAUAAAUAGUAAGAAACACAACACUGUAAUUUUACAAAGAAAUAGCUACAAGUUUUCGCAUAGGACACAGCUAAUACAUCGACAUGUUAUUGUGACCGAUUUGACUCGGACAAAAAAAAACGUUGUUCUCCUGUCGAUAUGCUGAAAGUUUUCCAAAAAUAGCACAAGUUCGGUUCGACCGACAUUUAUCAGGAUUUUUUUAUCUAUACUAUAAUCUGUUUUACCACCGAAAAAGAAAAUCGUGGCACCCAAAAAAUGAAAUUUAAAUAAUAAAAAUCAAUGUCAGUUACAAAAAAAUCUAUAAUAAAAAUCAAUGUAACUCGUAAAGUACAAAUGUAUUAGAAAUUUGGAUAGAUAUAUAUUAUAUACAUUCAAAAUAGAUAAAAUGAACUGGCGCAUGAAAUCGUUGAAAUGACGAAAACAAAUAUUUCUGUUUUGUCGGCAGAAAUUCUACUGUUUCUUUAUUUUCCCUCUUUUGAGUAUUUAAAUAAUCCAGUUUCAAUUUUCAACACAACAAAAAGGGUUUAAAAUUAAACAAAGAAAAAGUGUAAGGAAUUGCAGCGACCCACAAAUUAAGGAUUCAAAUCUGACUAAAUAUUUUCUCUUUGUUCAAGUCAAUAGCACUCUUACUGAAAUUUUUGCGCUAAUCAAGGCUCUUAUUCCUCCCAUUUUUCUUUUGUUAUUUCUUUAUUAUGAGUUGAUUAUUUCAUGAGCUUACUAGUGCAGAAAAGAUGGAAUAUAACGAAAUUCUGAUUAUCGUCCAUAAAUAUUGUGAAAAAAAUUUGAAUAAAAAUUUAAAUUUUCAAUCUAAGGGUCAGUAGACAUGCGUGUUAACUAAACAAAGAUGAAUGCGCGCUAUGUAUAUGGUGCAACUCUAUGAAUGGAGAAAUGAAAAAUAAAUGUAAUAAGCCUCUACGGCUCGUCUGAUAGAUCAAAUACGAAAAACCAAAAGAGAAAAAUGUGGCUGAGUUUCACUAUGAAAAAUAACACAAAAAUAAAAUUAAUCUCACAAAUUGAAAAACAAUGGAGCAGAAGAUGUUGCUCCGAUUAUAUCAUCAUCCCUCUAUACAUACAACUUUUUUUGUUUCCUGGAAACCAUAAUAAUCUCUUCUUUUUGUUCUUAUUUUCAUCAAAUAAAUCUUCUAAGACAAUCUUGAUCACUCGCUUAAUCUCUGUAAAACAAUCUAUGAACAAUGACGGUUUUUAGAUUUUCAAUCUUACAUAGAGUAAUUGGAAACGACAUCGCUUUAUAUUUUGGGUUUUACCUGUCCAAGAAUCAAUAGAAGGGUGGAGGUGGAGGAGAAGCAUAGGAUACUCCGAUCACUGGCGGUAAUGGCCCCUCAUAUUCAGGAGAUGGCGGUGGUGGAGGCGGAGAGCUGUAAUAGACUGAUGGUGGCGGCGGAGAGCUGUAAUGGACUGAUGGUGGCGGCGGAGAGCUGUAAUGAACUGAUGGUGGAGGCGGAGAGCUGUAAACUGGAGGGGGUGGUGAGUACUCUAUGCAGGGAGGGGGUGGGGGUGGUUCGAUACAAGGUGGAGGUGGAGGAGGGGAAUAAUGAGGAGGCGGUGGUGGGGAAUGUGGUGGUGGUGGUGGUGGGGAGUGAGGAUACAUUGGUGGGGGAGGCGGCGAAUGGUGUGGUGGUGGUGGUGAAUUGUAGUAGUAUGGUGGAGGAGAAGAAUGAUGCGGCGGUGGUGGUGAAUUGUAGUAGUAUGGUGGUGGAGGUGAGUGAUGCGGCGGUGGUGGGGAAUUGUAGUAGUAUGGGGGAGGAGAUGAGUGAUGUGGUGGUGGUGGCGGAGGUGAGCUGUAAUAGUAUGGUGGGGGAGAAGAAUGGUGAGGUGGUGGUGGAGGUGAGUAAUGUGGCGGUGGUGGAGGUGAGGGGCACGGCGGUGGGGGAGGGCGAGUGCAAUAAAUUGGAGCUGGUGGUGGUGGAGAUGAAUAUACUGGCGGUGGCGGUGGCGAAGAGUAAACUGGUGGAGGCGGUGGUGGUGGUGGUGGUGGUGGAGGGGGAGAAUAAACUGGUGGAGGUGGAGGCGGUGGUGGUGGUGGUGGCGGUGGAGAGUAGACAGGUGGAGGUGGUGGCGGCGGUGAUGGUGGAGGGGGAGAGUAUACAGGUGGAGGUGGUGGUGGUGGAGGUGGAGGGGGAGAAUAAACAGGUGGAGGUGGAGGCGGUGGUGGUGGUGGGGGAGAGUAGACGGGUGGUGGUGGAGGAGGAGGAGGUGGUGGUGGUGGAGGGGAAUAGACAGGGGGAGGCGGAGGAGGGGAAUAGACGGGUGAUGGUGGAGGUGGCGAUGGUGGAGGCGGCGGAGGCAAUUGAGGUACAAUCGGAGGAAGGGGUGUAACAGAACGACCACACUUAAAAGAUUCACAAUCCACCGGAGGCCGAGACAAAAACGCUGCACAUUGCUCCGAAGACCUCUGAGCAGGACGUGACGGCAAACAAUUCCUCCGGUCAUCAAACUCCGGCAACCUGAGACAGACAGGAGCCUCGCCGGUGAAGAAAUUGUAGCUGUAAGUGAAAUUCUCAAGCUUGGGAAGCUGACAAAUACUCGCCGGAAUCUUCCCCGACAACUGAUUAUGAGCCACAUUCAACUGCUCCACCGACACCAUCCCGCCGACACUUUCCGGCAAC